UCCGGUGUAGCUCAGCGGUAGUAGCAACGGACUGUUAAUCCGUGGGUCGCUGGUUCGAUCCCAGCCACCGGAG
rnacentral:tRNA from 1 species